rnacentral:rRNA from 1 species
AGAGUUUGAUCCUGGCUCAGGAUGAACGCUAGCUACAGGCUUAACACAUGCAAGUCGAACGAGAGAAGAUCGGUGCUUGCACUGAUCCGAUCGAGUGGCGGACGGGUGAGUAACGCGUGGGUAACCUGCCUCAUACAGGGGAAUAACAGUUGGAAACGGCUGCUAAAACCGCAUAAGCGCACAGUAUCGCAUGAUACAGUGUGAAAAACUCCGGUGGUAUGAGAUGGACCCGCGUCUGAUUAGCUAGUUGGUGAGGUAACGGCCACCAAGGCAACGAUCAGUAGCCGGCCUGAGAGGGUGAACGGCCACAUUGGGACUGGAGACACGGCCCAAACUCCUACGGGAGGCA